rnacentral:rRNA from 1 species
AUUGAACGCUGGCGGCAGGCUUAACACAUGCAAGUCGAGCGGAGAUGAGGUGCUUGCACCUUAUCUUAGCGGCGGACGGGUGAGUAAUGCUUAGGAAUCUGCCUAUUAGUGGGGGACAACAUUCCGAAAGGAAUGCUAAUACCGCAUACGUCCUACGGGAGAAAGCAGGGGAUCUUCGGACCUUGCGCUAAUAGAUGAGCCUAAGUCGGAUUAGCUAGUUGGUGGGGUAAAGGCCUACCAAGGCGAAGAUCUGUAGCGGGUCUGAGAGGAUGGACCGCCACACUGGGACUGGGACACGGCCCAGACUCCUACGGGAGGCAGCAGUGGGGAAUAUUGGACAAUGGGGGGAACCCUGAUCCAGCCAUGCCGCGUGUGUGAAGAAGGCCUUAUGGUUGUAAAGCACUUUAAGCGAGGAGGAGGCUACUGAGACUAAUACUCUUGGAUAGUGGACGUUACUCGCAGAAUAAGCACCGGCUAACUCUGUGCCAGCAGCCGCAGUAAUAC